CCUACGGGAGGCAGCAGUGAGGAAUAUUGGUCAAUGGACGAGAGUCUGAACCAGCCAAGUAGCGUGAAGGAUGACUGCCCUAUGGGUUGUAAACUUCUUUUAUAUGGGAGUAAAAUGUUCCACGUGUGGGUUUUUGUAUGUACCAUAUGAAUAAGGAUCGGCUAACUCCGUGCCAGCAGCCGCAGUAAUACGGAGGAUCCGAGCGUUAUCCGGAUUUAUUGGGUUUAAAGGGAGCGUAGGUGGAUUGUAAAGUCAGUUGUGAAAGUUUGCGGCUCAACCGUAAAAUUGCAGUUGAAACUGGCAGUCUUGAGUACAGUAGAGGUUGGCGGAAUUCGUGGUGUAGCGGUGAAAUGCUUAGAUAUCACGAAGAACUCCGAUUGCGAAGGCAGCUCACUAGACUGCCACUGACACUGAGGCUCGAAAGUGUGGGUAUCAAACAGGAUUAGAUACCCCUGUAGUC
rnacentral:rRNA from 1 species